UACGUAGGGUGCAAGCGUUAAUCGGAAUUACUGGGCGUAAGGCGUGCGCAGGCGGUUGUGUAAGACAGAUGUGAAAUCCCCGGGCUCAACCUGGGAACUGCAUUUGUGACUGCACAGCUGGAGUGCGGCAGAGGGGGAUGGAAUUCCGCGUGUAGCAGUGAAAUGCGUAGAUAUGCGGAGGAACACCGAUGGCGAAGGCAAUCCCCUGGGCCUGCACUGACGCUCAUGCACGAAAGCGUGGGGAGCAAACAGG
rnacentral:rRNA from 1 species